rnacentral:lncRNA from 1 species
GCUUAAAUAAUCAGGGGUCUUAUUGUGAAACAUUUCAUGAAAUUUUAUAAUUUUGUGUUUUUUACGUCUUUCUGAUAGUAACUCCCAUCCUGUUUCGUCGUAUAAUUUAUUUAUGGACGAUAACUUAGUACCACCAGUAACUAUCCUAGCCGCUUCAAGUUGCAUAUUUUCUAGUUUAUCACUUAAAUAGUCUGGAAUGUUGUCCCAAAUGAU